UACGUAGGGCGCAAGCGUUAUCCGGAAUUAUUGGGCGUAAAGAGCGUGUAGGCGGUCCGGUAAGUCCGCUGUGAAAGUCGGGGGCUCAACCCUCGAAUGCCGGUGGAUACUGUCGGGCUAGAGUGCGGAAGAGGCGAGUGGAAUUCCUGGUGUAGCGGUGAAAUGCGCAGAUAUCAGGAGGAACACCAAUUGCGAAGGCAGCUCGCUGGGACGUAACUGACGCUGAGACGCGAAAGCGUGGGGAGCAAACAGG
rnacentral:rRNA from 1 species